rnacentral:rRNA from 1 species
UUCUGGUUGAUCCUGCCGGAGGUUACUGCUAUCGAGGUUCGACUAAGCCAUGCGAGUCGAAUGUAGCAAUACAUGGCGAACUGCUCAGUAACACGUGGACAACCUGCCCUUAGGACGGGGAUAAACCCGGGAAACUGGGUAUAAUACCCGAUAGGUCUCGAUUGCUGGAAUGCAUCGAGAUUUAAAGCUCCGGCGCCUAAGGAUGGGUCUGCGGCCUAUCAGGUAGUAGUGGGUGUAGCGUACCUACUAGCCUACGACGGGUACGGGUUGUGAGAGCAAGAGCCCGGAGAUGGAUUCUGAGACACGAAUCCAGGCCCUACGGGGUGCAGCAGGCGCGAAAACUUUACAAUGCUGGCAACAGCGAUAAGGGAACCUCGAGUGCCAGGUUACAAAUCUGGCUGUCGAGAUGCCUAAAAAGCAUUUCAUAGCAAGGGCCGGGCAAG